GAGAGUAUAGCUCAGUGGUAGAGUAUGUGCUUAGCAUGCAGGAGGUACUAGGUUCAAUCCCCAGUACCUCCA
rnacentral:tRNA from 1 species